CAACUACUUCAAGGUCUCAGACGCUAUUAGUGCGCACCCUGCUAACUAGCUAGCCAUUUUACACCGGUUACACCCGACUUGAAAAAAAUCCAAAUAUACACAUUGCGAGAUAUUUGGCGAAAUAACAGACAUGCCAAUAUUUCCCCCAUAGGAAACAAUGGGAGGAUCGCAGUUACAAUAUUAUUUUUGUUGUUUACAUUUUGUUUAUAUGUUUACAUGUUAACUAUAAAACAACGUGAGCAGGUCUCAUUGCCAACAAUAGCGAAGAACGUUGAACAAUAAGCUGGGAAUAGAACGUUCGGAAGUCGAGUUGGUGCCACGGUGCUCAAUAGAACUAAUAGGAGCUGGCAGGGUGAAAAAUAAAUAAGGCCUGUUUUUUCACGAUUACUUCAAAACGAUGGUAAGCAGCUGGGAAAUAUGGUCAUAUUAUGAAACUGGAGCAAAACUGUCUGAAUUUACAAACUGACAAAUGUUCUCUGAAUGGAAACACCAUAAUAUUAAUCAAAUAUUAAAUCAGCUAAAUGUCAUAAAAUCAAUCCAAUAUACUAUUAUUACAACAGGUUUUAAAUUCUCUGGUAAUGCCAAUACGGAAUACUAUCAAAUGCUUCUCAAAGAUGCCCUCUGGUGGUCAAACUAGCAAUAACGUGCAGUAACAGAAGAAGUGGCUGAGAAUUAAAUGACGUGCCACAGAAGGCUGCAGGGGCACACAGGGUGUGGUGCAAUAUGAUGCAACUUUUAAAGGAGGAACCACUGUAAGUCUAUGUAAGGGGGUGAGUGCCAUGAGCCUCCUAGGUUUUGUAUUGAGGUCAGUGUACCCAGAGGAGGACAGAAGCUAGCUGUCAACCAGCUACACCAUGGUGCUACCCUACAGAGUGCUGCUGAGGCUACUGUAGACCUUCAUUGCAAAAUGGUCAGUGGAAGCGAGGGAAGUGAUGUGGAGAGUCAUGGCUCCGAAGCAGAAAGAAGGGGGGAAAAGGACUUAGAUGAUAGGAGGGAUAGAGGUGUGGAGGGAGCGAGGAAGAGGAGGGAGAAGCGAGUGGAGUGAGAGGAACAUAGAGAGGAAGAGGAACAUGGAGAGAAGGAGAGCACACCAGAGAGGGGAGCCUAUGUUUUCAUGGAGUGCUUCUCCAAUUCUCACCAUUCACAAUUGUACCACACGGCUUACUUUGUGCAAUUUGUCUUGUUGCAUUUGGUUUCGAAAAGUGCAUGUACCUACAUAGUAACUGCUCAAAGCGGUUGCAUGGCAUAUUGCUACCUAUUUAUGGUACUCUGAGGGCGGCGUCAGUAGACCAGUGCGAGGCCCUUUCCCAGAAAUCGCAGGCGCUGGUCCCUGAAGACAUUCAAAAUGCAGCUUGUACAUUCACUUGGCUUCAGUGUCGUUACUCCAUCAUUUGAACAUAGGUCCACUCCCUGGUGAAGUUUGAAGGGCGCAAGAUGGUGUGCAUCUGGAGUGGAUACAGGGCAAUGAGUGGGAGAUGUGUAGAAACCUCCUUUGGGUGCUCUACGUGUUCUGUGACACUUUGCAGGAGGGGGCAGUGUUUCCAGAAGUUCCACAACAUGUUGUAGGCUAAAUGCAACCACUAAAGUGACAGUGUGAAAUAUGAAUUUGUCCUACAAAUCUUAUAGGGAUACUAAAAAUGUGUUUUGUAUCUUCUCUCUAUUUGUCUGCAUUCACUGAAUUGUUGUCAAAGUAGGCUACUAUUUCUACAUUUUGUUUCAUGCCUGGUUUGUACUAAAUCUCAUUGAGAGAGAUUAUUUACAUUUUGAAUAUCUCUGAAUAGUUAGAAGUAAGAAUUGUUGUCAAUCAAAAAGCCUACUUUGUGUGAGUUUUGAAAUACUUUCUGAAUAUUGUCCUCUGGUCACAUUUUGGAUAACUGUUUCAAUAUACAAUUUAAAUUCUCUAGUUUGAGUGUUAAAUGUUUUUUGGGAGACACAUGAGUGUUUCUCCUAUUGACAUGAAUGUGGUGUCAUAUUAAAGAAGAGGUAGUGGUCUUUAAAACUAA